CUUCAACGUGUAACCCAUAAGUUAUUUGUAAUCUACAUGAGUACAACAACUUUACUCUCGUUUGAAUUUUCUGCAAGGUUUCCCAUCAAUCAUCAUCUAACCGAACACAACUUUACUUUUACACUUUCAAUCUCAAUACUCGCCCAUCUUGGCACUAAUCACACCAAGUUCCACAUUCGGCAAAUCUCUCUCCUCCCCUUCCUCCAUCCCUUCCGUCUCCCAAAGUUCCUCCCCCCUCCCCUGGGUGGGCAUGGCGAUCAUCACUCCUAGGAGCAUCUCCUCACCUGGUGGGGGGAUAGUCCAGUUCGGUUCGACUUUAGGUAUUUCUUCUAUUCCUACCGCUCCUUCCCCUUGCCUCUCGUUCACACCCCUGCCGUGGUUGGAACGGACAGAGUGGUAAGUGGUAUUUCGGGGUAUAGGUCUAGGCCGCGUGGAGAUGAAAAGGGCGCGAAAGUAUGAAGGGGCUUCGAAUUGGGGGAUGGUGAGCGGUUCGGGAGGAGGUGGGGGGGAAGGUGGGGUGAUGUGGACAAGGGUCAGUGGCUGUCGGUUAUCAAGCAAGGAGGAGUCAGCGGGAAUGGUCUUUACCUUCCUCUUAAGGAAAUGAGGUGGAUUGAACUUACGUCGAUAUCAUCCCAUCCUAUCCCACUCCAGCAGCUCCCAUCUUUCCCCUUUUUCUCCAGCAAACUAUCUUCCUCUUCAUCUUUCUGCCACCCACUUUCUACAUCUCGAUACAUCUCCCCCUCCCACAUACUCGGCAUAGCACCCACAUGCUUCUCUCCCUUCCCCAGUCUACCUCCCCUCCGAGCCCCGCCAUAAGGAUUUGGGCGGAAAAUCCCAAACGCCGCGGCGGCGUCAGGAGGAAGAGGUUGACCCGUGCGGAUAGAUUCUUGCAUGGCACGUCUGAGGCGGCGGCGCAUGUAGUAGGCGCGAAAGACGAGAGCGCCCGAAAUAGCGGCUAGGACGAUGAUGGUGAUGAGCAAUGCGAUGAGGUAGACCGUCGUCGAGCUGUAUUUCAUAAAAUGGCAUUCGAAUCAUCCGAUUUUCGAGAUGUUUUUAGCACGAUGAUGUUACAAGUAACGAAAGUAG
rnacentral:sRNA from 1 species